rnacentral:rRNA from 1 species
AUUGAACGCUGGCGGCAGGCUUAACACAUGCAAGUCGAGCGGGGAAAGGUAGCUUGCUACCUGACCUAGCGGCGGACGGGUGAGUAAUGCAUAGGAAUCUGCCUAUUAGUGGGGGACCACAUUCCGAAAGGAAUGCUAAUACUGCAUACGCCCUACGGGGGAAAGCAGGGGAUCUUCGGACCUUGCGCUAAUAGAUGAGCCUAAGUCAGAUUAGCUAGUUGGUGGGGUACAGGCCUACCAAGGCGACGAUCUGUAGCGGGUCUGAGAGGAUGAUCCGCCACACUGGGACUGAGACACGGCCCAGACUCCUACGGGAGGCAGCAGUGGGGAAUAUUGGACAAUGGGCGAAAGCCUGAUCCAGCCAUGCCGCGUGUGUGAAGAGGGCCUUUUGGUUGUAAAGCACUUUAAGCGAGGAGGAGGCUACUUGGAUUAAUACUCUAGGAUAGUGGACGUUACUCGCAGAAUAAGCACCGGCUAACUCUGUGCCAGCAGCCGCCGUAACAC